GUAUUUCAGGAUUGGGUGUCCGUUUUCCCCAGGGCCGGGGGGGAAGGAUGGUUAGCUCAAAACAAGCUAACCCAGUCCUUGCAUGGUAAGUGCCCAGGGGGCCGCGGAAGGCAAGAUGGAGAACAGCUGUUCUGAUUUCUGUUUACUGAAAACAGAAGUUGUUGAAAAGCCAGCCAGUACGUCCAGCCGAGACACUCCGCCAGACCUGAGCCCCCGCCGCGGGCAGCUCCAUCCAGUCAGUCAUCCUGCCCUCCUCCAGGACCUGAAGUUCUAGAAGACUGCACAGAGCGAGGACUUUCAAAUUCAGGACCCAAACAGCCAUUUCUGCUGAUGUAGUUAUUUCUGGCCCCAGCUGCAGAUACCAGUACUGAGAUGGAUGAUGAUGAUGAUGACUAUUCCUAUAUGAAGCAUUUCCAACAUACCCAGCUCUCUGCUUGCACACAGCAGGAGCUGGGCCACAUCACUGAAAGCCGUCAGCCUGCUGCCAGCUCCUGGUGCCAGAUGUCCUUCACCCACUGUUCAGCCUUUGUCAUCUCGCCUCGCCUCCCUCGUUAUCUGUGUGCUUUAAAAUAGACAGGCCGGAGGAGGAAUGUUACCCAGCUACUGAGCUGUGGCCGGCCCAGCCUGCAACCCCCGAGAGCCUCCAGAGCUUUCCCCUCGGGGAAAAGCUCCACCUGCUCAGCCGUCUUUCUCUUCUCGAACAAAGACAAAUAUUUCCAGCCCAGAAAAACCAUCCCAGCCCUUCCAGCCAAGAGGAGAGGAGGAAGGAGGCCUGCCGGGAGCCACCACAGGAGAUCCCACCCAUGACAAAGGUCAUGCGGAAGAGACCUGACGGGCAAAGGCAGAUCGGGCCUCAAGGGACCCCCUGAAUCUGCUGGAGCAUCUACCCCAAAACCAGAGUCUGUCUGUCUUACUAUUUUGUGCCUUUCACCAACUCUUCUGACAUUAGCAGGGGGCUAUCCCCAACCACUUUCUCUGGAAAAAGUCAACUUAGGGCUCUAAUUAAUAAGUCUCCUGGGCAUGAAAAGAAUAUUUCUAUUUUAACCCCUCUGUUGGCAUUCUAGCUUGCCUGACAGGUUUAUCCAUACUCUUACAAUUAACACACAUGAUUGUUCACAACUCCCCAAGCUUGAAAGGAACGGGGAGCCAAAACAUUCUAAAAGUCCUAAUGAGCAUAGAGUCCUUUAAGGGAUGAAAAAUUAUUAGAAUAGAUAGUACUGGUAAAGGGUUUCAUUGUUGAGCCAAUGCUUGCUGCCAAGUGCCCAUAUCCCUUAUCCAUUGUACACCUGGGAGUGCAUUGGUUAACAUAGUUGGAAUGUAAGAAAAACAAGUAGUAGCCUUGGAAUUAACCUCAUCAGACCUUUGAGCUAAUUGGUUCUUUCUUGUAACCCACCAUACCUUUGCUCUAUGAAAUGUAACUUUGUUUAGUACUUUUUGAGGGUGAUGCAGAUUGAAAAAAUAAAAAAAAACACUUUAAAAGAAAAAACAAGUUUUCUGGUUGACCAACCUUUAUCAAAAAAGAGUCAUAAAACGUUGGCAGGCCACAGGGCCAGAAGAUAAUGUGCGUAACACAAAGACCCUUGUAAACGAAAAGGUGUGCAGAAAACAUCCUGGUCCUGGUGAAGGUCAAACUGAUGUAAUGUUGAGCUGACUUUGUAUGACUUUGCAUCUUUCAUUUCCCUCUAUGUACAAGUCAAGGUAUAAAAGUUCCUUUUGAAAAUAAAGUUAUGGGCCUCGCUCACCGAAGCUUGGUCUCCCCGUGUCAUUCUUUUUUUCCUUUUCCCUCCUUUUCUCUCUCUGUUCUUCUUUCAGGAUGACUCCUUGGAACACAGGAGCUUUAUUGGCUUUCUGUAUUAAUCAAGGAAGAUCAAGCCUCUUUCUCUUCUCUUUAUUUUUUCUCCUUUAUUUUCUUAUUGUUCAACCCCGGACUAUCAGGUUUCAAUUCAUUAUAAGACCCGUGUCAUCUCUCUCUGGACAAUGCCAUCUUUCCUGAGGGUACCCUAGGAUCCUGCUGGGGCUGGGCCCCAGCAGUAGCCUGCCAGGCUCCUCUGUCCAUGGGAUUUCCCAGGCAACAAUACUGGAGUGUGUUGCCAUUUCCUUCUCCAGGGAAACUUCCCAACCCAGGGAUUGAACCCGCAUCUCCUGCAUUGGCAGGCGGAUUCUUUACCGCUGAGCCACCAGGGAAGCCCCAAAGGUGCUCUUAGGUUCUGACUUAUUUCUGUUUAAAGAAGGAUGUGUGUGGCUGGCUGAAUAAUAC
ensembl:lncRNA